rnacentral:rRNA from 1 species
GACGAACGCUGGCGGCGUGCUUAACACAUGCAAGUCGAACGGAAAGGCCCUGCUUUUGUGGGGUGCUCGAGUGGCGAACGGGUGAGUAACACGUGAGUAACCUGCCCUUGACUUUGGGAUAACUUCAGGAAACUGGGGCUAAUACCGGAUAGGAGCUCCUGCUGCAUGGUGGGGGUUGGAAAGUUUCGGCGGUUGGGGAUGGACUCGCGGCUUAUCAGCUUGUUGGUGGGGUAGUGGCUUACCAAGGCUUUGACGGGUAGCCGGCCUGAGAGGGUGACCGGCCACAUUGGGACUGAGAUACGGCCCAGACUCCUACGGGAGGCAGCAGUGGGGAAUAGUGCACCAUGGGCGGAAGCCUGAUGCAGCAACGCCGCGUGCGGGAUGACGGCCUUCGGGUUGUAAACCGCUUUCGCCUGUGACGAAGCGUGAGUGACGGUAAUGGGUAAAGAAGCACCGGCUAACUACGUG